GCGGACGUGGUGAAACUGGUAGACACGCUAGCCUUAGGAGCUAGUGGAGAAAUCCGUGUGGGUUCAAGUCCCUCCGUCCGCA
rnacentral:tRNA from 1 species